rnacentral:rRNA from 1 species
CCUACGGGAGGCAGCAGUGGGGAAUAUUGGACAAUGGGGGGAACCCUGAUCCAGCCAUGCCGCGUGUGUGAAGAAGGCCCUCGGGUUGUAAAGCACUUUCAGUGAGGAAGAACGCCUGGUGGUUAAUACCCAUCAGGAAAGACAUCACUCACAGAAGAAGCACCGGCUAACUCCGUGCCAGCAGCCGCGGUAAUACGGAGGGUGCGAGCGUUAAUCGGAAUUACUGGGCGUAAAGCGCGCGUAGGUGGCUUGAUAAGCCGGUUGUGAAAGCCCCGGGCUCGACCUGGGAACGGCAUCCGGAACUGUCAAGCUAGAGUGCAGGAGAGGAAGGUAGAAUUCCCGGUGUAGCGGUGAAAUGCGUAGAGAUCGGGAGGAAUACCAGUGGCGAAGGCGGCCUUCUGGACUGACACUGACACUGAGGUGCGAAAGCGUGGGUAGCAAACAGGAUUAGAUACCCUAGUAGUC